rnacentral:rRNA from 1 species
UGUAAGCGUAUACCAAAGUUGUUGCAGUUAAAACGCUCGUAGUCGGAAUUUGGCAGUUCCGGAUGUGUGCACGUCGUGUGCGCACUUCGCGGGCAUUGCUUUUGUGGUCUUGCGUAGGAUGAGGCACUUUUAUUAGUGAACGUCCUCACGCAACCACUUUUUACUGUGAGAAAAUCAGAGUGCUCAAAGCAGGCAUUUGCCGUGAAUGUAUUAGCAUGGAAUAAUAGAAUAGGACUUGGUUCUAUUUUGUUGGUUUGUUGGGACUGAGUAAUGAUUAAGAGGGACAGUUGGGGGCAUUUGUAUUUCGGUGCUAGAGGUGAAAUUCUUAGAUUACCGAAAGACAAACUGCUGCGAAAGCGUCUGCCAAGGAUGUUUUCAUUGA